UACGGAGGGUGCGAGCGUUGUCCGGAAUCACUGGGCGUAAAGGGCGCGUAGGCGGCCCUCCUUGUCGCGUGUGAAAGCCCCGGGCUCAACCUGGGAACGGCGCGCGAGACGGGGGGGGCUGGAGUUCGGGAGAGGAGCGUGGAAUUCCCAGUGUAGAGGUGAAAUUCGUAGAUAUUCGGAAGAACACCAGUGGCGAAGGCGACUGACGUGGACAAGCAUUGACGCUGAGGUACGAAAGCGUGGGGAGCAAACAGG
rnacentral:rRNA from 1 species